AGAGUUUGAUCCUGGCUCAGGACGAACGCUGGCGGCGUGCUUAACACAUGCAAGUCUACGAGAAAGAGGUAGCAAUAUCUCAAGUAAAGUGGCGCAAGGGUGAGUAAUAUGUAAGUAAUCUACCUAUGGGUUCGGAAUAACGUCGAGAAAUCGGCGCUAAUACCGAAUAAUGCAGCGGCAUCGCAUGAUGAUGUUGUUAAAGUUGUCCCGACUUGUCGGGAUAACUCCUAUAGAUGAGCUUGCAUCUGAUUAGCUGGUUGGUAGGGUAGUUGCCUACCAAGGCUACGAUCAGUAGCUGGUCUGAGAGGAUGAUCAGCCACACUGGAACUGAGACACGGUCCAGACUCCUACGGGAGGCAGCAGUGAGGAAUAUUGGGCAAUGGACGGAAGUCUGACCCAGCAACGCCGCGUGGAGGAUGAAUGCCGUAAGGUUGUUUACUCCUUUUGAAGGGGACGAAUAUUCAAGUUCCGUAA
rnacentral:rRNA from 1 species